rnacentral:tRNA from 1 species
GGGGAUUUAGCUCAGUCACAUUAGCGCCUGCCUGGCAAGCAGGAGGACAUGAGUUCAAUCCCCA